GGCAGNCNGGUGANUACACGUGGGUNACCUGCCUGUAAGACUGGGAUAACUCCGGGAAACCGGGGCUAAUACCGGAUGCUUGAUUGAACCGCAUGGUUCAAUNAUAAAAGGUGGCUUUUAGCUACCACUUACAGAUGGACCCGCGGCGCAUUAGCUAGUUGGUGAGGUAACGGCUCACCAAGGCGACGAUGCGUAGCCGACCUGAGAGGGUGAUCGGCCACACUGGGACUGANACACGGCCCANACUCCUACGGGAGGCAGCAGUAGGGAAUCUUCCGCAAUGGACGAAAGUCUGACGGAGCAACGCCGCGUGAGUGAUGAAGGUUUUCGGAUCGUAAAACUCUGUUGUUAGGGAAGAACAAGUACCGUUCGAAUAGGGCGGCACCUUGACGGUACCUAACCAGAAAGCCACGGCUAACUACGUGCCAGCAGCCGCGGUAAUACGUAGGUGGCAAGCGUUGUCCGGAAUUAUUGGGCGUAAAGCGCGCGCAGGCGGUUUCUUAAGUCUGAUGUGAAAGCCCCCGGCUCAACCGGGGAGGGUCAUUGGAAACUGGGGAACUUGAGUGCAGAAGANGAGAGUGGAAUUCCACGUGUAGCGGUGAAAUGCGUAGAGAUGUGGAGGAACACCAGUGGCGAAGGCGACUCUCUGGUCUGUAACUGACGCUGAGGCGCGAAAGCGUGGGGAGCGAACAGGAUUAGAUACCCUGGUAGUCCACGCCGUAAACGAUGAGUGCUAAGUGUUAGAGGGUUUCCGCCCUUUAGUGCUGCAGCAAACGCAUUAAGCACUCCGCCUGGGGAGUACGGUCGCAAGACUGAAACUCAAAGGAAUUGACGGGGGCCCGCACAAGCGGUGGAGCAUGUGGUUUAAUUCGAAGCAACGCNAGAACCUUACCNGGUCUUGACAUCCUCUGAC
rnacentral:rRNA from 2 species